rnacentral:siRNA from 1 species
GAAGGAUAGUUAGGAUAUGGAUGU